UCUCUUCCUUUUUCUCACGGUCUGACCUCCAUUUGAGAAUAGGUAUGAUUUUUAUUUAUUUAAUUUUCGAUUGUCAAUUUCAAGAUUUACAUUUUCUAAGAGGUGAUUAAGGGUUUCAGCGAAGGAGGAAGAGGGGACAUGAAAGAGAAAAGAUGAAGAUCCUUCGUCACCUGGUUGAGGUGGUUGCUGAUAAAAAAUGACGAUUUUCUCUAUCCUCAUUCUCUCUAUAUAUCCUUCUACUGUAUUUCUUUGAUUUUUGCCUAUGUUUCUCUUGAAUUAUUAAUUGAUUGUUGUUGCUGCUGGCUGGGGAGUAAAAACCGUGGUCGAAUUUCUGACUAAUUUGGGAAUAUUUUCGUUAAUUACUAAGCUAGGGAGGGCUACAAUACCAGAGAAAGAUGAGUUGUGCACGCAGGUCCCAGUUAUAUUGCUUUUGCCAUUCAGAUGUAUUGUCAAAGGAGUGUUUCUAUUGGUCUAUCAGGACUGCUGGCUUGGAACAGGAAAUUGAGAACUUGAAGAAGAAGUUGGUUGAUUGUGCCAGAGAAUUUAAAUAUCAGGGAGGAGCUUUCCGAGGCCCAAAGAAUUAAAGUUGUUGCUGCUGUUGGAGCUGCUUAACUGAUGCUGGAGCUGCGUGUUACUACUUCUCUUGGAUUCUGCUGCGGUUGUUUGGAUGCUGUUGCUUCUUGUUAUUUACUAUUUUUUAUUUACAAUAUUAUUGAGUUGUAAAAUUGGAUUUUGUGUUUGAUAAUAUGUAAAAUUAGAUUUGAUAUAUGUUAUUAUACUUACUAAUUAGGAAAUUUUGUUAAAAACCUCCCAUUAAAAACACAUUUUUGUCAAAAACCGCCCGAAAAAAAAAAUAUGUUGCCCAGGACAACCCAAUUAUUAAAUUUUGUUGUCAAACGCCACCCGACUCUACAUUCCGACAUAGACCUAAAUCUCCCGCGUUGACUUUUUCCAUGUGACUUGCACUUGAUUUUUAAUGACCCCCUCCCUCUUCUUUCCGUUUUUUCCUUUGAAUUUUUUUGAGUUCCUACACUCUCU